GAAAAAUUAAGAAGACUUGCCCAUAUGUAUGUGAUAAGGGCCAUUCACUUGUAUAUGCCAAAUGGUUUCCAAAGAAACUCUGCCUCCAUAAACACAUACUCAUGUACAUAAACAUAUAAAGUCACACACACACACACACACACACACACACUAUCCUAUUGGACUUGGAAUGCUCAUGAAUUUUAUAUUAUUUUUUUCCCAUAAAAUUUGCAAGAUACAAACCCAUAUGACCUCACAGGAGGUCUAGACAAGAAUCUAGAGAUCUCAGGUUGUUUGAAGCCAUUGUCAGGUCACUACUUCAAAUCAGAACAUACAGGCAUUACUUUUAAGUCCUAAAACCUGGGUCUGAUUCUGGCCGCAUCUGUAUCAUGGUUUCUGAGUCAUGUCCCACUGUGUAUCUGCUCUAGAAAACUACAGAAAUGGAGAAUGACUACACUAGAAUCAGGGCAUGUGAAAGAUGGACAUUGGAGAGAUUCUUAGACAGGAGAUGGGUUAUAUUCCAUUUCCUCUAUGAUCUCAUCUGCCUUACAAAUUGUGGAUUCUUAGAACAUUCCAGAGCUCUGACCUCCUUAGGCUGAUUUGGUGGUAGGAGUUAAAGGGUGGACCAUUGUCCAUAUGGUUGAAGUCAUUUGGGUGUCAGAGAGAGAAGGCCACUUCAAUUAAGGUGCUACAUUUAGGAAAACUUAUCCCUAUGAGGUAAAGACUGAGUCUCUUCUCUAGCAUAUUUGGACCAUUAUGACAUGUCCAACACCAAAAUUACUCACUAGUAGCCCAUUGUAAUGUUGCCAUAGUGACUGUCUCCCAUUAUAAUCAGCAAGAUUAAAAAGACAAUAUCUGUGAAGAUCUCUACGGCUGACAAGUGAGUGCCCGUGGGAGAGAGAAGAAGACCUGCUUCCACAAUGUACUGGGAUGGAGGCAGAUCCUGAGCCCAGAGUCAGCUCUAUGAAUGGUGGCAGGCCAGGGCAAUCUGCUCUAUGAAAAUAGGGAUCUUUUCAGUCUUGUCCAUCUCUGUACCAUCAACAGCUAUCACAAUGCUGGUACAAAAGUCUUCUUCCUUCUGACCUUUGCCUGUGGAUUUGAGAAAAAGCAACCAUUUAAGAACUUAAAAUGUAAACUCACUUGGGAUAGAGAAAGUCUGGUUAUCCUCUGAUUAAAGAAUAAAAAUAAUGGUGUCCUUUCUCUCUCCCUACA
rnacentral:lncRNA from 1 species